AUUGAACGCUGGCGGCAUGCCUUACACAUGCAAGUCGAACGGUAACGCGGGGGCAACCCUGGCGACGAGUGGCGAACGGGUGAGUAAUGUAUCGGAACGUGCCCUAGAGUGGGGGAUAACUAGUCGAAAGAUUAGCUAAUACCGCAUACGAUCUAUGGAUGAAAGCGGGGGAUCGCAAGACCUCGCGCUCCUGGAGCGGCCGAUAUCUGAUUAGCUAGUUGGUGGGGUAAAGGCCCACCAAGGCGACGAUCAGUAGCUGGUCUGAGAGGACGACCAGCCACACUGGGACUGAGACACGGCCCAGACUCCUACGGGAGGCAGCAGUGGGGAAUUUUGGACAAUGGGGGCAACCCUGAUCCAGCAAUGCCGCGUGUGUGAAGAAGGCCUUCGGGUUGUAAAGCACUUUUGUCCGGAAAGAAAUUGCUCUGGUUAAUACCCGGGGUAGAUGACGGUACCGGAAGAAUAAGCACCGGCUAACUACGUGCCAGCCGCCGCCGUAAUAC
rnacentral:rRNA from 1 species